GGUGUGGCACAAGAUUUUUUCAAAUUUUAAAUUUGAAAAACGUUUUGUGGAUCUCACGCACGUCGCACUCUAUGGACACGCAAUUGGGUUAAAAACCCACCCACAUGGGACCCCCGGGAAUCACUUAUAGCUGCCAUUACGAGCUUUAAUUAAAAAAAAAAAUGUUAAUAUUAAAUCGACGCUGUCACGCGGUUUCUACUUUGCGCCACGCGGUUUUGAAAUAGAUAUUUUCAUUUUAUUUCCUUUAAAAUUUCCGCCCCAUUCCUCAUGCCACUUAGUGCUGAAGCUAUACUGCCUUCUACCAAAUUUCAGGCACAUCAUUACAGAUUUAAAGAAAAGAGAACACAGAAAUCAUUUAUCACACCAAAAAAAAAUCUGAAAAAAUUUGAAAUCUCAAAAGACUUGGUAGUGUAUUCCGGUCCUUUUCUCUUGCUUUUGGCAGAAGAGUCAUUACCCGUUAUGUAAAAGUAAUAGUGGGAUACUUGAUAAACCAUGAAGCUUCCUAGAAGCUUCCCUUCAACUUAAACUCCACUCACCAUCUGCCAGUGCCAGCAGUAGUGCAAAUUGCAGAACUGAAGAAGACCAAUUUCGAAGUAGUGCCCAUUGUAAAACUGAAGAAGACAAUUUCAAACGGAUCUGAUCUGGAGUUCACGUUUAUGGUGAAGGAAUAAAAAAGAUGAAGAGGAGUUUCGGCCGGAAUUCACCGAAAUAGCUCGAAAUGGCCGAAAUUGACAGUAAUGACUCGGAAUUUAAUCCAAGGUUGAAUAGGGGGUUUCUCGUUCCGGUUUGCAUACCAGAAUGGUAUUUUCCGGCCGUUCUGACCAGAACGGAACAGAAUUAAUAACUUAUCU